rnacentral:rRNA from 1 species
GGGGGCCCGCAAGCGGUGGAGCAUGUGGUUUAAUUCGACGCAACGCGAAGAACCUUACCUGGGCUCGAAAUGUAGUGGAAUCCGGCAGAAACGUCGGCGUCUAGCAAUAGACCGCUAUAUAGGUGCUGCAUGGCUGUCGUCAGCUCGUGUCGUGAGAUGUUGGGUUAAGUCCCGCAACGAGCGCAACCCUUAUCUUCAGUUGCUACCAUUUAGUUGAGCACUCUGACGAAACCGCCUCGGAUAACGGGGAGGAAGGUGGGGAUGACGUCAAGUCCUCAUGGCCUUUAUGUCCAGGGCUACACACGUGCUACAAUGGCCGGUACGAACCGCUGCAAACCCGCGAGGGGGAGCUAAUCGGAAAAAGCCGGCCUCAGUUCGGAUUGGAGUCUGCAACUCGACUCCAUGAAGCUGGAAUCGCUAGUAAUCGUGGAUCAGCAUGCCACGGUGAAUACGUUCCCGGGCCUUGUACACACC